GACGAACGCUGGCGGCGUGCUUAACACAUGCAAGUCGAACGGAAAGGCCCUGCUUUUGUGGGGUGCUCGAGUGGCGAACGGGUGAGUAACACGUGAGUAACCUGCCCUUGACUUUGGGAUAACUUCAGGAAACUGGAGCUAAUACCGGAUAGGAGCUCCUGCUGCAUGGUGGGGGUUGGAAAGUUUCGGCGGUUGGGGAUGGACUCGCGGCUUAUCAGCUUGUUGGUGGGGUAGUGGCUUACCAACGCUUUGACGGGUAGCCGGCCUGAGAGGGUGACCGGCCACAUUGGGACUGAGAUACGGCCCAGACUCCUACGGGAGGCAGCAGUGGGGAAUAUUGCACAAUGGGCGGAAGCCUGAUGCAGCAACGCCGCGUGCGGGAUGACGGCCUUCGGGUUGUAAACCGCUUUCGCCUGUGACGAAGCGUGAGUGACGGUAAUGGGUAAAGAAGCACCGGCUAACUACGUG
rnacentral:rRNA from 1 species